UACGGGGGGAGCAAGCGUUGUUCGGAUUUACUGGGCGUAAAGGGCGCGUAGGCGGCCCCCGCAAGUCGACUGUGAAAUCUCCGGGCUUAACCCGGAAAGGUCAGCCGAUACUGCGGGGCUAGAGUGCAGAAGGGGCAACUGGAAUUCUCGGUGUAGCGGUGAAAUGCGUAGAUAUCGAGAGGAACACCUGCGGCGAAGGCGGGUUGCUGGGCUGACACUGACGCUGAGGCGCGAAAGCUAGGGGAGCGAACGGG
rnacentral:rRNA from 1 species